UUGGACUUUUCUCUCCUGCUCACAGAUAAUGCAGGCAAUAUGAUACAAAGUCUUAAUUCGUGGCUGUCACAUUCAAACUGCGGCAGAUGGAAACCUUAAUCAAAUUUUUUCUGUAACGCAGGCUUACAUCCUUUAAUGUUUCCUUCAUUCUUAAAAUGAAACAUAGUAGUUUUGUUUCAAGUCAGACACGUGUUGUUCCAUCAAAGGAAGCUAUUAUAUGUCUCAGACUGUAAACUGUGAACAAUAUUCAAGAUUUGAAAAAAAACAUUCGGAGGAGAGGGACUUUAAAGAUGUGGAUGAAGAAUUCUCUACAUGUAUACUUCUACACGCCUACACGUAUAUUUCCACACGGAACUUAUUUUGCUGAGCAAAGUUACUCCAGCUAGGCCUGUGAAAUAUUUUUCAGCCAAGAUGCCAGGAAAAUUCCUGUACUCUUUUACAGUAACUGUUUUGGGAUCUUUAAUAUCUACAUGAUGUAUCAUCAGCUCAGGCAAGUUAGACCUCAGUUUAACAUCUCAUACAAAGUAGAACUGCAAACCAAGCCAAGUUGCAUACAUUACCUCCAAGAAAGUGACAGCGUGAUUGAUAUUGCCUGAUGGAAUCAACUCUGCACUUGUAAGCUUUUGACAGUUCAAAGCUACUCAACAACAGAAAUUAUACAAGCAUGACAGCACUCUACUGAACGUCUCACUAUGACUUCUUAUGGAGACCUACACAUCUCUUUGAAUCUACAGUCACCACAAAGUGCAUUGGGACAUGAACAAACUGAAACUAUUUUGCAUGGCCACUGACACUGUGCUCUCUCUCAUAACAUAGACUUUUAUAAACAAGAGUUCCACUUGUAUAAAUAUCUGUAUUCUGGAUUUACAGGAGCAGUUAGAAGAACCAUGCUAUUUAAUUACAAUAGCAAUAUAAGUGCAGAUAGAAUACUGAACUGUCAUAAAUCAAAUAUAUUUAAAAAAGGUAGUACUGAGCUUGAAUAAAAGCAGUGGUUUAACAAUGUA